CCUACGGGGCGCAGCAGUGGGGAAUAUUGCUCAAUGGGGGAAACCCUGAUGCAGCAACGCCGCGUGAGUGAUGACGGCUUUCGGGUUGUAAAGCCCUUUCUUCAGGGACGAUAAUGACGGUAUCUAAGGAGGAAGCACCGGCUAACUCCGUGCCAGCAGCCGCGGUAAUACGGAGGGUGCAAGCGUUGUUCGGAUUUACUGGGCGUAAAGAGAGCGUAGGCGGGAUAGUAAGUCAGAUGUGAAAUACUAUGGCUCAACCUUAGAACUGCAUUUCAAACUGGUAUUCUAGAGUGUGGGAGAGGAGG
rnacentral:rRNA from 1 species